GCGACGACGCGCGCCUGCCGCUGCCCACGCCGCAGGAGCUGGAAGCCAUCAAGAAGGUCGCGCAGAUCCUGGUCAUGCUGGGGGAACAGGUCAUCCCAGCGAUAAUUGGCGACCCGCCGUCCCCGGGCAACUGCGAGGGAGCAGUCGAAGACGUCCCCAAUGACAUCGUCAAUAAUCCCUAACUAAACGUACUAUAUUUUUGAAAUCCAAUUUACAAUUAGUAAAUUAAACAAACAACGAAGGCAGACAGCAGCUAAAAUAAUGCCAAGAAACUUAUGAAUAAAAACCGUUGUUUGAAUUUGUAAGCUCUUCUCAAAACUAAAAUAGCGCCAACAAAUGUCCCUUACGGCCUGAUUCCACCAAACUUUUAUCCGAGAAUACCUCCUGCUGGUAUAACUGACACAUUGACAGUAUCUAGUAAUAUAUAAAAAUGUCGAAUAACUGACUUUUUAUUCUGAGAUUAAUAUUCACUCUUGAUUGGUCGAAUCCACCUUAAGUCUGUCAUUUAUUUUCCUAUAAAAUUCAAGGUUAAGGCUAUAGUUAAAUGUAACAUCUUUUAAAAAUACGUCAUUGAACACUAAUUCAAGAUAAAUCAUCUCGGUAAUGCUUAAAACAAUGCAGAUUUAAUCUCGUAUUAUUUUGGCCAGUAUCGCAACCUCACGCAGGUGUGGCGACAUCUCAUUGAGAGCAGUUUCGCAAAGGACGCUUCUUUUAAUUCUCUAACUACGGCAUUAUAUCCGAAUCGUUUGCCUAACCGCUCGUAGGCGCACGAGCGGAAAGAUCUCUUAACAAAUCUACACAAUAAUAUUUAUUUUGACAGUAAAGACAUCAUAACCAUAACCUUAACAAAUAAAAUCAUACAACAAAAGGCCAAAGAAGUUUAUCUAUUACGCAAGCAUUUUUAUCAAAAAUAUUGUAAACUGGAUUUCAGAAGUUAUCUUGAAUUAACUUUAUUUUGCUAUUUAACUAGUUAUUGUUUGUGCCAAGCUGUUAUUUAUAUUUAAUAAUACAAAAAUGUUUUAUUAGCGACUGUUUCUUUAGAAAUAUAAGUAAGCUUAAAUAAAUUAAUCAAUGCAAAUUA